rnacentral:snRNA from 1 species
AAACUUACCUGGCUGGGAUGGUCUAGCGAUCAAAAAGGCUAGGCAUCUGUUGCGAGACUUCCCCAUUGCACUUAAGGGCGAGGUUGACCGGCAGGGUGGCUCCAAACUGGGGUAGACCCACAGCUAAAUUUUUGUGUGUGGGGGACAGCGUUCGCGCUUCCCCCUU